rnacentral:rRNA from 1 species
CCUACGGGCGGCAGCAGUGAGGAAUAUUGGUCAAUGGACGAGAGUCUGAACCAGCCAAGUAGCGUGAAGGAUGACUGCCCUAUGGGUUGUAAACUUCUUUUAUAUGGGAAUAAAACGUUCCACGUGUGGGAUUUUGUAUGUACCAUAUGAAUAAGGAUCGGCUAACUCCGUGCCAGCAGCCGCCGUAAUACGGAGGAUCCGAGCGUUAUCCGGAUUUAUUGGGUUUAAAGGGAGCGUAGGUGGAUUGUUAAGUCAGUUGUGAAAGUUUGCGGCUCAACCGUAAAAUUGCAGUUGAAACUGGCAGUCUUGAGUACAGUAGAGGUGGGCGGAAUUCGUGGUGUAGCGGUGAAAUGCUUAGAUAUCACGAAGAACUCCGAUUGCGAAGGCAGUUCACUGGACUGCAACUGACACUGAGGCUCGAAAGUGUGGGUAUCAAACAGGAUUAGAUACCCUAGUAGUC